GACGAACGCUGGCGGCGUGUUUAACACAUGCAAGUCGAACGGGGUGUUUAUUUCGGUAAACACCAAGUGGCGAACGGGUGAGUAACGCGUAAGCAAUCUACCUUCAAGAUGGGGACAACACUUCGAAAGGGGUGCUAAUACCGAAUGAAUGUAAGAGUAUCGCAUGAGACACUUACUAAAGGAGGCCUCUGAAAAUGCUUCCGCUUGAAGAUGAGCUUGCGUCUGAUUAGCUAGUUGGUGAGGGUAAAGGCCCACCAAGGCGACGAUCAGUAGCCGGUCUGAGAGGAUGAACGGCCACAUUGGGACUGAGACACGGCCCAGACUCCUACGGGAGGCAGCAGUGGGGAAUCUUCCGCAAUGGGCGAAAGCCUGACGGAGCAACGCCGCGUGAACGAUGAAGGUCUUAGGAUCGUAAAGUUCUGUUGUUAGGGACGAAGGGUAGGAAUCAUAAUACGGUUUUUAUUUGACGGUACCUAACGAGGAAGCCACGGCUAACUACGUGCCAGCAGCCGCGGUAAUACGUAGGCGGCAAGCGUUGUCCGGAAUUAUUGGGCGUAAAGGGAGCGCAGGCGGGAAACUAAGCGGAUCUUAAAAGUGCGGGGCUCAACCCCGUGAGGGGGUCCGAACUGGUUUUCUUGAGUGCAGGAGAGGAAAGCGGAAUUCCCAGUGUAGCGGUGAAAUGCGUAGAUAUUGGGAAGAACACCAGUGGCGAAGGCGGCUUUCUGGACUGUAACUGACGCUGAGGCUCGAAAGCUAGGGUAGCGAACGGGAUUAGAUACCCCGGUAGUCCUAGCCGUAAACGAUGGAUACUAGGUGCUGUGCGACUCGACCCGUGCAGUGCUGUAGCUAACGCGUUAAGUAUCCCGCCUGGGGAGUACGUUCGCAAGAA
rnacentral:rRNA from 1 species